GCCUGAAGGAUAGAGCGAUAACUCCACAAUUAAGAGUUCUUUCUGCUCAUGUUGGUGACUCGGGUUUUGUUUCCUGCAUCCUCGAGUGGACCUUCCAGCUGUGCAUAGCCCCAGUUCUAGCAGUCCUGGAAUACUUUUCUAGCUUCUACUGUCACCAGGAACGCACACAAUAUGAUUACAUAUACAGGCAAAGCACACUACACUCACCAGGAAUGCACACAAUAUGAUUACAGAUACAGGCAAAGCACACUACACUCACCAGGAAUGCACACAAUAUGAUUACAGAUACAGGCAAAGCACUCACAUAUUUAAAACAAGAACAAUAGUUAGAAAUAAAAAAGAAAGAAAGAAAGAAUAUAAUCUCUAGGUAUCUUAGUUGUUUUUCUUUUUUUCUGUGUUAAAAUACCAUGACCAAGGGUGACUUUUAUAAAACGAGGAGUUUGUUUUGGCCUUGGUUCCAAAGAAAGCUCAAAUAGUUGCAGCGGGCAAAGCAUGUGGUGGCCAUUGCAUUAAGAUUAAGGGACUUUUAUCAACAAAACACUCAAAACACAGAAUAGAAGAGGGGUGAGACUCUAAACUCUCAAACCUACUCUUGGUGAUAUAUAUAUUCUCCAGCUGGACUUAAUCUUUCAAAACAGCAUCACCAGUGAAAAACUGAUAUUCCAAUACCUAUGUACAUGCAGGACUCAUUUUUUUCCCAUUUAAACCACUGUAGUGGGUCAGCUAAAUUCUACCUGAUAUUAUGUAUUGUCCCCAUGAAAAAUAAAAAUGAAACAACAAAAUAUAUUAAAAUACUCUUGAUAUCCCAUAUCAAAGAAGUGGAUUCAGGGUAUUAAUUUGGAGACACUCUUUGGAAUAAUUGCUUUAUAAAUUCAAAUUGGCAUGGCCUCAAGUUUUAUAUAGAUUAAAAAAUAAAGGUACCUUUUUACAUAGUAUGACUUCUGAUAUACUGAUAUAUAUUUUGUGCUAUAUUUAUAGAUAACAUUGGUAGUAAAAAGAGGACUUUGUGAACAUAUCCAGAAAAUUAGUUCUCAUUGAGGUGCACAUACAUACACCAUACACCAUACACACACACACACACACACACACACACAGAGAGAGAGAGAGAGAGAGAGAGAGAGAGAGAACACCAACUUUCUAGUAUGACUGUACCUUUCACCCCGGCCACUCUUUUAUAUAUACACAUGUGUUGAAGUUAUGUGCCACCUUAGUAAAAUAUCCCAUUUAUUUAUGGUACUUCAUAUGGUUUGAGAUUUGGUAGGUUUAUGUGGUCACAUUUCUUAGUAAAAGCAAGUCCAAUGUGUCAUCUCAUUUUAAAUCACAUAGAUUUAACAAAUAUCAGUGAAUAAUUACAGGUAGUAUAUGGUAAAUGACCACAUCUUUAUGGCUUUCCCUGGAAAUACCUAGAGAAUUAUUCUGAGAAUUGCAAGCUUUUCUUUUUUCUAAAGUGUUUUUCAAAAUGACCGAUCAUGUGUUUUAAUUUGACUAAGAAGAAUAUUCUACAAUAAGAUUGUACAAGACUCUGAAGUAGUUCACAAAAAGCACCUAACAUUUAUCAUGUUCCUUCACUAAUUGGCUUCCACUGUGCGUGGAGGAUUAAUCUAUUUACUUGACAAAUAUUUUAUUGAGAAAGUCAGUUUCCCAACAUAAUUUUUAUUUGCAAUUUCAUGGAGCUUAUGUCAGUAUUUGAUGAUGAUUUUCCCUCUUGAUAAUUUUCAAAGGUCAUAAAACGUCUUUUUAGUUUAAUAUGAGAACAAUCUUCUAGAGAUGUAAAACAUAAGCUUUUAUGCUUUCAUCAAGAGAACAGAUUUCAAAUCUGUAUAAAUUAAGCCAACCUGUUGCUGUUUUUAUUAACACUUGAAAUUCAUUCUUUACAAAAUAAGACAGAAUGAGGAGUUCUCAUAUAUAUUACUCAUAUUCUAUCUGCUAUACAAAUAUAUGUAUAUGAAUGCACAUAUGUCUGAUAUAUUUUAUGAGUGUAGAUUGGUUAUAUUGUGUUCUUUUAUACAAAAUAUUUCAGUAAAUAUUUUACAUAGGCUUACCAUAGUGUUAUUAAAUGUAGAAGUUUUACUUUCACACAAUACUCUCUCACCUGCAACCCAUAAUCAAAUUUUGCCAAUUGCCCUAUAAUGGAUAGAACUGACCAAAUUUGUAGUUUUUCAUGUUCAAGUCACAGUCACUGAUAUCAUAGCUACUUAGAAGUGGCUUCAACUUUGUUCCCAGUGGCCAAAGUUUCCACAGGUCUUUUCUCUGUUGCUUUUUGUCAUGGGCCAAGAAACUGUUACAACUCAUGUUUCGAAGUGAGUGAACUCUCAGCAAAACAGAAAUACAAGUUUUGUAAUCUUGAGAAUUAAGAGACUACUAAAUAUUUGGAAAAUUAGUUACUUGGAAAACAAUUUUCAGACACAAAACAAAUAGUGGAAAUGCAUCAGUGUAAUUGCUUGAAAUGGAGAUAUCUCAGUUAGAGCAACUUGGACACAAAGAGAAACAGCAAAACAAAACAAAACAAAACAAAACAAUUCAAAACAAAACAAAACAAAACAAAACAAAACAAAACAAAACAAAACAAAAAACGUAUAUACCAUGCUAGGUAAAUGAAACAUGAAUUGAAAAUACUCAAGGUCUAAAAGAAGAAAAUAGGAGAGCAGAAAAAGAAUAUGUGGAGGGGAAUAUUACUAAUGAAAGAAAGAAAGAAAGAAAGAAAGAAAGAAAGAAAGAAAGAAAGAAAGAAAGAAAGAAAGAAAGAGAGAGAGAGAGAGAGAAAGAAAGAAAGAAGGAAGGAAGGAAGGAAGGAAGGAAGGAAGGAAGGAAGGAAGGAAGGAAGGAAGGAAGGAGAGAGGGAGAGGGAGAGGGAGCGAGAAGGGAGGGAGGGAGGGAGGGAAAACAGGAGAGGACCAGAGAAAGGGAAGGAGGAAAGGAGGUCAAAUCAUGUCCUAAAAGUGAUUCCAUGUUGUUUAAUGGCAAAUGUGCUCUGAAGCACUGUAUACCACAAAAGCCAAUGGAGGUUCCUGUAAACAAGUGACUAUUGCUCAGAGUUCAGCCCAGUAGCUUUAGGAAAUGCUAUCUCUUCUGAAAGAGAAGUAAUGGGUAUGAAGCAAGUUGUGGAGGUUAUCAGAAAGCAAGGGGAACACAGCUUCAGACAAACAAUAGAAAUUCAAGAUCAGGACAAAUUGUUCCUAGCAAUUGCAUGGGAGAGGCUGAACUCCCUUGAAAGUGUCCUCUCUGACAGUCAUUAUCACAAGAAUUCUAUUCUGAUGGCAAACAAGCCAUGGGAAAGAGGCUCAAAGUGAGUCUUUUGUUAUGACACACAGAUAGGAAUAAGAGUAAAUAAAGAGCUUCAGGAGUUAGGGAAUUUGAAGACAACCUUUCUGUAUUUUGUUUGAGAGGUAGUUUUUUGCUUGCUUGCUUAUUUGUUAAGUUAGCGAAAGGCUUAUACUAAUGUUUCUAGAUAAAUAUUUUAAGAGAUUUUUUUUAAAAUUCUGAAUUAAAAAAAUAGUAUUGUUCACAGACCUUGGUUUGAAUUUAUAAGUAGAAUUAAAGGAAUCAGCUCUAAAAAGUAAAGAGCAUCCUUGGAACCUGAGGGGAAUAUAAGUCAAUGUUAGAACUUACAGUGAAAAGGAACUAAAGGAAAAAUGGGGCAAUUCACCAUUUUGUACAAGCAACUGUUGUGAUGGUAAGAUAUUUUCCACAUUCCCAUGAGGUUUAUCAUGCCUGGAAUACCUUUCAGGAAAACAACAACAACAAAAAACAAAACGGAUAUCUUCUAAGAACUUGAAUUCUUAGGCACAAAUACAGGACAAUUCUCUGAUCCUUAGAUAAUUUUAGAUUUUCCUUAUUUAAAAUUUCCUUUCACUUUAUCGCAACUGGCAUUUCUAGCCUGGGCAAGAUCUUCAAUCAGGUGCCACCAUCACCAGUAAAUGGACAACUUUUCUUGAUGAUUUUCAAAGAAUGCAGUGUGUACUCCUUUGACAUUAUAAGACAAGGCAGUAUUUAGGGAUUUAUCCUUGAAUUAAAAUUUAGCCUGAACCACUCAGUGAUUGCAUGAUACAUAUGUCCUGUGUUAUAAGAGCCCACGUAAUGAACUGAUGGAUAAUCAGCCCUGAGAUUUUUCAGUCUUUAUCAAGGACAUGACAAAAUAAAAAUUAUAAAUUGUUGUCUUAAGAUGACCACUCAGCAUUAAUAUUAUUUAGUGAAAAAUAACUAGAAAUAAAAGUUUUCCUUCAACCUCAAGUUUUGGCUAUAAAGAAGAAAAUAUUAAACAUUAAUAUUUCUAUGUUCAGAUUACAGCACUUUAUCAUCGAUAUUUUCAGAAGCCAUUUCUUGAAACAAAUUCAGUUUAUCAUCUUGAGAACAUGUUCUUGAGCACCCUAAAAUCAAAAGCUAUAUAUUCUGGCCACUGCUGUUUUUCUCUCCUUUUUUUUCCCAUUUUUUUAAGACAAGGCAUCAUGAAUAUAGCAGUAUGUCAUUAAGCAACACUAUUGCUAUGUUCUUUAGCAGAAUAACAUAUUAGGUUUUCUCAUAGGACCAUGAACUAUCAAGUCUCAGAUUCUCAGCCAUCAAAAAUUAGUUAGUUACUUCUGUAAUAUUUGAGUUGCUAUUGUACCUCUAUAAUCUGUAUGCUGGGUGACUAGUGUAGGCUGCAAUGAUUGUGCCUGGGAGAUGUUGAUGAAUGUCUCAGAUAGAAUGCUGACUACCGUCCAGUAUCUCCAACACUAGUCAGUAGGGGUUCCAUUUCUAGUUAGGCACUCAAUCGAUUUCUUGUUUGAUGACCUCUGUAAGUGUUAUCUUUAGCAAUAGGGCCUCAUCAACACAUGUUGCUUACAACAAAAUCUCAAACAUUCCAUUUAGCCAAUACAAUCUUGGGAGCCAGAUUCUGGGGUGAUAGCCUGCUAGCUCACAGAGACAGAGAAAGCACCCAGAUGAACUCAGCAGACAUCCUAAAAGAGAUGUCUUCUUCAUCUUCUUCUCCACAUUGUCUCAAAAAACCUUCAAAUAGAAUAUUCCUCCCUUCUACUUCCUGUGAGUCUCUCUAUCUGUCCUCGAAAUUUCAUCUUAUUCUCUAUUUUUUUUCCUAUGUUCACUUCCUAUGCGCUGGUUGCUUGGUCAGCCUCCUAACCUUUGGUUGACUUUAUUUAUUCCUAUCUACAAGAAACACAAAGCUCUUAGAUUAAAGGUGAGAUAAUGCUGAGCCACACCACAAUAAGAAACAGGUUUUAUUUUAGUAUCUAACCCAAUCUCGGGGCUCAAAGUAUGAUCAAUUAUCCUGCAACAAACACAUUAUAGAAAGAAACCAAUGAACUUGACAAUAAUUUGUGAUGUUUAUAGGUUUCCAUGGAGGCUGCUUUGGGCAAUGCCUUAGCAAGAUGUGUAACCCAAUCCUGGCACUGGAGCUGUCUAGUUAGUUUAUUAUCUCCCUUAUCACUUUAUGGUUCCAUUUUGAUUCCUGAAAAAUAUGUCUACAUAUUCAAGAAGCUUCUACUGCUCUAAGUUUGCGCACAGCUUUUCAAACAGCCUUUAGUGUUUGUUAGUUAGUUAGCUAGUUAGUUACCUCCCAUUUUAUUCUCUCCUUUAACCUCUGUUUCAUUCCCCUCUCCUCUUAAAAGUCCUACUCACUUCUUAAAACACACAUGUAACGUAAUAUUAACAAAUAAUACCAACUUCUACCUUCAUUGAUAGCAUCAACAACCACCUUUCUAGGUCAGUUUCAUAAAAUGUAAAUUCAUAUUGACUUCUCCAUUGCUUAAGAAAACACUACUUUUGAAUUUAUUUUUGUGUUUAGCCUGAAUUACUCAGUAUUUAGACAAAUUGCAUUUGCUUCCAAGGUAAAACUGGUGUUACUAGCUCACCUUGAGAAACAGAGUCACUGUUAGUGCUAAGAAA